rnacentral:ncRNA from 1 species
UAACAGGGGUGUCCUUCUACCAUGCAACACCUGAGGGUUUCAGGUGAUACAGGGUAACGGGGCUGAGAUCAUACCCUUUGAACCUGUUCGGGUCAUGCCGGCGUAGGAAGUGC